rnacentral:rRNA from 1 species
GACGAACGCUGGCGGCGUGCUUAACACAUGCAAGUCGAACGGAAAGGCCCUGCUUUUGUGGGGUGCUCGAGUGGCGAACGGGUGAGUAACACGUGAGUAACCUGCCCUUGACUUUGGGAUAACUUCAGGAAACUGGGGCUAAUACCGGAUAGGAGCUCCUGCUGCAUGGUGGGGGUUGGAAAGUUUCGGCGGUUGGGGAUGGACUCGCGGCUUAUCAGCUUGUUGGUGGGGUAGUGGCUGACCAAGGCUUUGACGGGUAGCCGGCCUGAGAGGGUGACCGGCGACAUUGGGACUAAGAUACGGCCCAGACUCCUACGGGAGGCAGCGGUGGGAAAUAUUGCACAAUGAGCGGAAGCCUGAUGCGGCAACGCCGCGUGCGGGAUGACGGCCUUCGGGUUGUAAACCGCUUUCGCCUGUGACGAAGCGUGUGUGACGGUAAUGGGUAAAGAAGCACCGGCUAACUACGUG